rnacentral:hammerhead_ribozyme from 1 species
AUGUAGAUGACGAGUCUUAAAUAGGACGAAAUGUGCAUCCUUGAU